UUUCAGUUACACGAAAAUAUGGAUCGAGCGGGAGUAUUGUAUGGGCUUCUGAAGCUGCUAAUGGAUCAAAGGGACACCCGGGGGCUUAGUAUUUGCACGCUAGAGGCGAAAUUCUUGGAUUGUGCAAAGCCUUCCUACUGCGAAAGCAUUUGCCAAGAAUGUUUUCAUUAACCACGAACGAAGGUUAGGGUAUCGAAAACGAUUAGAUACCGUUGUAGUCUUAACAGUAAACUAUGCCGACUCCGAAUCGGUCGAUGCUCAUUUCACUGGCUCGAUCGGCGCGGUACGAGAAAUCAAAGUUUUUGGGUUCUGGGGGGAGUAUGGUCGCAAGGCUGGAAAUUUAAAGAAAUUGACGGAAGGGCACCACCAGGAGUAAACUUUCACAGCUAGCCGCAGUGUCUCUGCUCCAAAAAGUCCGCCUGAAAGGGUCGGUGCGUGUUCCUAUUUGAAAUAAUGUCUAGUCUGAUGCGAAUCAGGCGACACAUCCAAAUUGCGGGAAACUCCUUAGAGCUCUGGCUACCGCGGCCCCAUCGUGAGAUUAGGGGUGCAGCACCAGGUUAAUGGCCUCGGGUAUGGUAAACAACGUUAGAGAUUGGACAAUCCGCAGCCAAAGCCUCUUCGCAAGAAGUGAAAGGUUCAGAGACUAAAUGGUUGUGGGUGGCAGACGGUUUCGCGAAUGUAUGAAAUCAAUCAUAAACACGUGAAGGAAGUCUGCUGCUUAAGAUAUAGUCCGAGCCCCACAGGGAAACCUUGGGAAUUUUGGCAACAAACCGAAACAGAUAAAUAACAUCGGGAGCCUGCGGCUUAAUUUGACUCAACACGGGGAAAACUCACCGGGUCCGGACAUAGUAAGGAUUGACAGAUUGAUGGGCGCUUUCAUGAUUCUAUGGGUGGUGGGGCAUGGCCGUUCUUUGUUGGUGGAGUGAUUUGUCUGGUUAAUUCCGAUAACGAACGAGACCUUGACCUGCUAAAUAGACGGGUCGCCAUUUUGUUGGCCCCUUAUGUCUUCUUAGAGGGACAAUCGACCGUCUAGGUGACGGAGGCAAAAGGCAAUACCAGGUCUGUGAUGCCCUUAAUGUCCCCGACUGCACUAGCCCCACAACUGCACAGACAACGAGUGGAGCCCCUUGCCCGAAAACUGGGUAAACUAGGGAAACUCAGUUCUGGCUGGGAUGGAGCUUCGCAAAGGUAUAAAC
rnacentral:rRNA from 1 species